GAGAUAGGAUCCCGCAUGCCUCUCUACUCCAUUGCAUGGUGAGUGUCUCAAAGACAGGAGAUCAUGUCUAGGACAUUAGCCUUCUUUUCUGAGUUUUAAAAUUUCAGGACGUUGAAACUUCACAGAGUACUGUCUCAGAAUCCCCUGGACUCAUUUAGAAAUUACAUCUUUAAUUUUGAAAAUAAUUAUCAAAAUAACAACUUUGACUUUUGGUGAUAAAUGAGGUCAGUAACCUUGGAGGUGAGGGAAGUCAUAUAAGCCAAAAAUGCAUUUAGCAAAUGAAAUUAAAAACAUUUACAUAGACACACACACACAUAUACACAUGCGCAAGUACAUGUUUGCAUCUAUACAUGCAGUUGCCCCCCCACCAACCCCUGCCCCGUGAGUGGCCUUCAUGAAACCAUCAUUGACACGUUAGCCAAACCUCCACAGGGACUAUGAGGCAAUAUUCCACAUUAUUACAUGCCAUGUAGUCAAAACCAGGCCAGUUGUCUAUGAAGAAUAUUUCCCCCUCUAGGCAAAGUCUGACUUUAUGUGAUCCAGACCUCUUUGCGACACCCAAGAACUACUGUGAUUUGUCUAGAGUGAGGCUCACAUAGACCACUACAGCAACUUAAACCUAACAACAUUAUUCACAACAGCCCAGAUAUGGAAACUACUUCUGUGUCUAUGUAUGAACAGAUAAAGAAAAUGUGAGAUAUAUACACAAUGGAAUAUUAUUCAGCCAUGAGAAAGAAGGAAAUUCUGUCAUUUGCAACAACAUGGAUGGACCUUGAAAGCAUUAUGCUAAGUGUGAGCGGUGCAUAACUGGAAGAUGAAAUGAGAUACUGAGUUUCUAUUUUGGGGAGAAAACCAAUGAGUUAUCACCAAGAAAUGACAGCAGAGGGACCUAACAAGGAAACUUAGGACACCAAACCACUCCCCACAUCACAAAGAUUGAAUUGUCCUGAUAUCUUUAACUUCUAUGCCAAGAAAGUAUUUUCUGGUGUCUUUUGUUCCUUGCAUUCUUGUGAACCUUCUCACAACAUUCAUAUCCUUCAUGGUUGGGACAUAGAACUUUAGCCAAGUCUAUACGAUGCAAAAAUUCCAACAUAAUACAAAGGCCAAAAAUUCAUAUAUUUCCACAUACAUGUACUCUGGGUAUGUGUGUAUGCACAUGUGUAUAUAUAAGUGUUUAUAUGAAUAUAUUUGACAUUGCAGAAAAAGAGCAUCUGGCAUUUUCAUCCAGAUGUUUGACAUUAUGUAGUUACUAUAAUCCAGCCAGCUGUGUGCUUCAGGUCACUUUUUUUUUUCUUUUUUGUUCAUUGAUGGGUGUAACAUGCAGAUAAUCAAAAGAUUUGUUGCAAUCACAACAGAGAAAAUCUAUCAUUCCUCCUUGAUCUACCAUAUUAGAUUAGCUUAAAAGGAUUUGGUUUUAAGUAGAACACAUUAGUCAUUAUCCACUAAGUACCUUCUUGUCUUCAAGUUAUUUGCAAAUUGAUUAUAUCAGGGUUUCUGCCAGUAUUUUCUUAAGUAUCCAAGUGAAGGUUACUUGUCUGUUCUGCUUGUUAUAUGACUCGUGACUUCAUUUAGUCCUCUACUGGUGACAAAUUUCCCUGUUAACACUUCAAGAUAAAACCUUUAGGGAACCUGACAUAUGAAUAAAAAGAAUGCAUUAAAACCAA